AGAUGAAAAACUGACUUUUGAGGGAGAGGUUUGCAUCUGUGGAGGAAAUGAAGUGAAGUAAACAACAGAUAGAAACAGGCUUUCUUUGAAGCCCCCCUUGUUGGGACCUGGGAAAGAUGAAUUGAGAGUCUGACAAUUUAAAGCUCUGACAGAAAUAUUUACUGCUGGCUACGAUUUAUUUUUUUCUGAAGGCUGCUACCUGUGAGGUUUCAUCUGCAUAGUAAGACCCCUUUGCUAGUAAGGUUGCUAACUUUGGAGGAAGCCAGCUGCCAUGUCACAAAAAGAUUCAGGAAGCCAUGUGGAGAGGCCCACAUCAUGAGGAACUGAGGUCUUUGCCAAUUACCAGCAAGGAAAUGAGGCCUCCUGCCAACAGCCACGUGAGUAUCCUACCUUGGAAAUGGACCCUCUAACUUCAAUCAGCCUUCAAAUAACUGCAGCCCCAGUUGAUGGCUUGACUGCAACCUUAGGAGAAACCCUGAGCCAAAAACAUUGAGGAAAAACACCCCCAGAUUCCUAUCAGAAAUUGUGUAAGAUAAUAAAUGUUUGUUGUUUUAA
rnacentral:lncRNA from 1 species